GUGGUUGUAGACGCGAAACCUUGCGAUCUACCCUUGAGCAGGUUGAAGGUUGGGUAAAACCAACUGGAGGACCGAACGAAUAAGCGUUGAAAAGCUUCUCGAUGACUUGAGGGUAGGGGUGAAAGGCUAAUCAAGCUGGGAAAUAGCUCGUACUCCCCGAAAUGCCUUUUGGGGCAGCGUUGUAAUAAAGAGUCUACUGGAGGUAGAGCUACUGAUUGGAUGCGGGGGCUUCACCGCCUACCAAAUCCUGACAAACUCCGAAUGCCAGUAGUAUGAUUUACAGCAGUGAGUGACUGGGUGCUAAUGUCCAGUCGCAAAAGAGGAACAACUCAGACCAGCAACUAAGGUCCCGAAGAAUAUGCUAAGUUGAUCUAACGAUGUUUUGUUGCAGAGACAGCUAGGAUGUUAGCUUGGAAGCAGCUAUUCAUUCAAAGAGUGCGUAACAGCUCACUAGUCGAGCGACAGAGCGUGGAUAAUAAACGGGCAUCAAGCAUAUCACCGAAGUUCUGGGCGCGAGAGCGCGGUAGGGGAGCAUUCCAUUCAGCGUCGAAGCAGUUUCGUGAGGAAUUGUGGAGCGUAUGGAAAAGCAAAUGUAGGCAUGAGUAACGAUAAUGCGGGAGAGUAACCCGCACACCGCAAGACCAAGGUUUCCUGAUCAACGCUAAUCGGAUCAGGGUUAGUCGGGUCCUAAGGGUAAGCCGAACGGCGAUCUCGAUGGAUAAUCGGUUAAUAUUCCGAUACUAACAUAUACCUCGAUGGAGAGACGAAGGAACGUAAGUGCCGCCACCUGACGGAAUAGGUGGUUAAAGGGCGUAGAUAUAGGGGCAGAUUAAGAGUUAGUCCUUGCUGAAACCUGACAGUACAGAGAGCCUACGGGCAAUUUGAUAGAGCACCCAAGUCGACUUCCGAGAAAAUCUUCUAAGUUAUAGUAUAUGUUACCCGUACCGUAAACCGACACAGGUGGUCGAGGAGAGUAUCCUAAGGUGCUCGAGUGAAUCACGGUUAAGGAACUAGGCAAAUUAACCCCGUAACUUCGGGAAAAGGGGUCCCUAUGAAAGUAGGGCGCAGCGAAGAGGUCCAGGCGACUGUUUAUCAAAAACACAGGGCUCUGCAAAUUCGAAAGAAGACGUAUAGGGCCUGACACCUGCCCGGUGCUGGAAGGUUAAGAGGGGAUGUCAUCGCAAGAGAAGCAUUGAAUCGAAGCCCCAGUAAACGGCGGCCGUAACUAUAACGGUCCUAAGGUAGCGAAAUUCCUUGUCGGGUAAGUUCCGACCUGCACGAAUGGUGUAAUGAUCUGGACGCUGUCUCAACCGUGAGCUCGGUGAAAUUGUAGUCCCGGUGAUGAUGCCGGGUACCCGCAACGGGACGAAAAGACCCCGUGAACCUUUACUAUAGCUUAACGCUGAAUUUGGGUACACAAUGUGUAGGAUAGGCCGGAGGCUUUGAAGCGGGCACGCCAGUGUUCGUGGAGCCGACGUUGAAAUACGGCCCUUUGUGUAUUUGAGUUCUAACCCUGCGAAGGGGACACCGUUUGGUGGGUAGUUUGACUGGGGUGGUCGCCUCCAAAAGCGUAACGGAGGCUUCCCAAGGUACCCUCAGCACGAAUGGUAACCGUGCGCGGAGUGCAAUAGCAUAAGGGUGCUUGACUGUGAGACAUACAAGUCGACCAGGUACGAAAGUAGGGUAUAGUGAUCCGGUGGUUCUGCGUGGACUGGCCAUCGCUCAAAGGAUAAAAGGUACUCCGGGGAUAACAGGCUGAUCGCCGCCAAGAGCUCAUAUCGACGCGGCGGUUUGGCACCUCGAUGUCGGCUCGUCACAUCCUGGGGCUGGAGAAGGUCCCAAGGGUUCGGCUGUUCGCCGAUUAAAGUGGCACGCGAGCUGGGUUCAGAACGUCGUGAGACAGUUCGGUCUCUAUCUGUUGCGGGCGUAGGAAGAUUGAGGGGUCCUGACUUUAGUACGAGAGGACCGAGUUGGACGAACCUCCGGUGUAUCGGUUAUGCUGCCAAGUGUACUGCCGAGUAGCCGCGUUCGGUCUGGAUAAGCGCUGAAAGCAUCUAAGCGCGAAGCCAUCCCCAAGAUAAGUCUUCCCUUGA
rnacentral:rRNA from 1 species